GAUGAACGCUAGCUACAGGCUUAACACAUGCAAGUCGAGGGGCAGCAUGGUCUUAGCUUGCUAAGGCCGAUGGCGACCGGCGCACGGGUGAGUAACACGUAUCCAACCUGCCGUCUACUCUUGGACAGCCUUCUGAAAGGAAGAUUAAUACAAGAUGGCAUCAUGAGUCCGCAUGUUCACAUGAUUAAAGGUAUUCCGGUAGACGAUGGGGAUGCGUUCCAUUAGAUAGUAGGCGGGGUAACGGCCCACCUAGUCUUCGAUGGAUAGGGGUUCUGAGAGGAAGGUCCCCCACAUUGGAACUGAGACACGGUCCAAACUCCUACGGGAGGCAGCAGUGAGGAAUAUUGGUCAAUGGGCGAGAGCCUGAACCAGCCAAGUAGCGUGAAGGAUGACUGCCCUAUGGGUUGUAAACUUCUUUUAUAAAGGAAUAAAGUCGGGUAUGGAUACCCGUUUGCAUGUACUUUAUGAAUAAGGAUCGGCUAACUCCGUGCCAGCAGCCGCGGUAAUACGGAGGAUCCGAGCGUUAUCCGGAUUUAUUGGGUUUAAAGGGAGCGUAGAUGGAUGUUUAAGUCGGUUGUGAAAGUUUGCGGCUCAACCGUAAAAUUGCAGUUGAUACUGGAUAUCUUGAGUGCAGUUGAGGCAGGCGGAAUUCGUGGUGUAGCGGUGAAAUGCUUAGAUAUCACGAAGAACUCCGAUUGCGAAGGCAGCCUGCUAAGCUGCAACUGACAUUGAGGCUCGAAAGUGUGGGUAUCAAACAGGAUUAGAUACCCUGGUAGUCCACACGGUAAACGAUGAAUACUCGCUGUUUGCGAUAUACAGCAAGCGGCCAAGCGAAAGCGUUAAGUAUUCCACCUGGGGAGUACGCCGGCAACGGUGAAACUCAAAGGAAUUGACGGGGGCCCGCACAAGCGGAGGAACAUGUGGUUUAAUUCGAUGAUACGCGAGGAACCUUACCCGGGCUUAAAUUGCAGAUGAAUUACGGUGAAAGCCGUAAGCCGCAAGGCAUCUGUGAAGGUGCUGCAUGGUUGUCGUCAGCUCGUGCCGUGAGGUGUCGGCUUAAGUGCCAUAACGAGCGCAACCCUUGUUGUCAGUUACUAACAGGUUCCGCUGAGGACUCUGACAAGACUGCCAUCGUAAGAUGUGAGGAAGGUGGGGAUGACGUCAAAUCAGCACGGCCCUUACGUCCGGGGCUACACACGUGUUACAAUGGGGGGUACAGAGGGCCGCUACCACGCGAGUGGAUGCCAAUCCCCAAAACCUCUCUCAGUUCGGACUGGAGUCUGCAACCCGACUCCACGAAGCUGGAUUCGCUAGUAAUCGCGCAUCAGCCACGGCGCGGUGAAUACGUUCCCGGGCCUUGUACACACCGCCCGUCAAGCCAUGGGAGCCGGGGGUACCUGAAGUGCGUAACCGCGAGGAGCGCCCUAGGGUAAAACUGGUGACUGGGGCUAAGUCAUAACA
rnacentral:rRNA from 1 species